rnacentral:rRNA from 1 species
AGCGCGCCUUUCGGGGUGAGCGGCGGACGGGUUAGUAACGCGUGGGAAUAUGCCCUUUGGUACGGAAUAGCCUCUGGAAACGGAGAGUAAUACCGUAUGAGCCCUUCGGGGGAAAGAUUUAUCGCCAAAGGAUUAGCCCGCGUUAGAUUAGGUAGUUGGUGGGGUAAUGGCCUACCAAGCCUACGAUCUAUAGCUGGUUUUAGAGGAUGAUCAGCAACACUGGGACUGAGACACGGCCCAGACUCCUACGGGAGGCAGCAGUGGGGAAUCUUGGACAAUGGGGGCAACCCUGAUCCAGCCAUGCCGCGUGAGUGAUGAAGGCCUUAGGGUCGUAAAGCUCUUUCGCCUGUGAAGAUAAUGACGGUAGCAGGUAAAGAAACCCCGGCUAACUCCGUGCCAGCAGCCGCGGUAAUACGGAGGGGGUUAGCGUUGUUCGGAAUUACUGGGCGUAAAGCGCACGUAGGCGGACCAGAAAGUUGGGGGUGAAAUCCCGGGGCUCAACCCCGGAACUGCCUCCAAAACUAUUGGUCUAGAGUUCGAGAGAGGUGAGUGGAAUUCCAAGUGUAGAGGUGAAAUUCGUAGAUAUUUGGAGGAACACCAGUGGCGAAGGCGGCUCACUGGCU